CAUUGACAUAAAAGGAAUAGAGCAAUCAACAUAGUGUUACAAUUAGAAAUAGUAUAUGAAAAUAUAAAUAACUAAGACAACAGGGUAAUUUAAUAGUUUAACAAUCCCUGAUAACAUACAAAGAGAAAUAAAAAAAAAACAUACUAGGAAACGUAUUCAAAAAAUAUAACACUAUAACAUACUGGUGGGAUGUAUAAAUACCGAGCCGCGUCAAAGAGUAUUCAUCAAAAUACACAUAAAAAGAAACAGAGGUGAAAAUAAACCGCAAACAGAUAAUUAAACUAUUUUUUUUUUUUAAAGAGUAUGACAAAGCCAUGUUGCGAAUCGAAAACGUCGAUAAGACGCACGUCAGUUAAUAAAAGUUCAAACCAUAACCAGGAUCGAGUACCACAAACCCCACAUAAAACUUCUGCGGUGUAAGUAUGA
rnacentral:lncRNA from 1 species